rnacentral:lncRNA from 1 species
AUGUUAACCUGUGUUGAGCACAAAGAUGUACAGCAGACAGAUCAAUGUCAAGCACUUGAAGAGCUUACCUGCUGUCAAAAUUGUCAUUCCCCACCAGAUGCCCUAACUUCCCACUGCUCCCCGCUGGUACUGCUGCCCCUGUUGUCUCUCCAUCCAAAGAGUUUCUGAACAAGAGACAAGCUUUUAUGGAGCCCAGCAAAGCUUCAGAAGAGAAAAGGAAAAAUCGAUACUGUUUCAAAGCAAAGUCUUUGCUUCAGUGAAUAUGACAUUUGCCCUUUCUUCACUAGGGGGAAAAACAACAAGGACACUUACACCAGCAAUGGAAAUAGAAUGAAUAACAGAGGGACCUUCCAGGUUUGACAUGUAAGGGGAAAUGACUUUGUAGUUAUUGUCCCUAUUUGGUGACAUCAAAAACAGGUGUAGAGUUUAAGGCGGUGCAGGCUGAGAACGAAGUGGAAAGUAACACAAAGUCAAAGAGAAGAGUUGAAGGAAUUUGGAACAAGUGAUAAUGGACUUGGCUGAAAAGAUGGAGAAUGAAAGACACUGUGCAAAGGUGAAGUCCAUUGUUGUACAAUCAAAUUAACUAUUAAAUGUCAGCUGUAAAGGUGCACCAUAAUAUUAAAAGGACCUUCCAGUAAGUUUUACGCCAUUUUGACAGCUUUACAGCUACUGAAAAGGUCCAUAGAGCCUCACGCUUUGCUAAUGAAUGGCCUCUCCUUAAGGAUGAAGCGGGUCAGAAACUUUGAAAGAAGCUGGAAAUACCAAUUAAAGAAAUGGAUGCUUCUGCAAAAUCAAAACAGCUCUGAAAAACACUCAUUUAUAUUUUUGGAGGAUUAACAAAGAAUUAAACUAAACAUAAGCCUUAGAAAUCUGCUCCAAUUCUUUUCCAUAUCCAGGUUUUCAUUAAUUUCAUUCUAAAGCUGGUUAUAACUCUCUGGUUCCGUUCCAUUUUGACUAUGCCACUCCUGAGCUAGUUUUCCAAAUUGUGUUGUUUUGAUGUUUCU